UACGGGGGGGGCAAGCGUUGUUCGGAAUUACUGGGCGUAAAGGGCUCGUAGGCGGCCAACUAAGUCGGAUGUGAAAUCCCCAGGCUCAACCUGGGAACUGCAUCCGAUACUGGAUGGCUUGAAUCCGGGAGAGGGAUGCAGAAUUCCAGGUGUAGCGGUGAAAUGCGUAGAUAUCGGGAGGAACACCUGUGGCGAAAGCGGCUCACUGGACCAUAACUGACGCUGAUGCACGAAAGCUAGGGGAGCAAACAGG
rnacentral:rRNA from 1 species